AUACUGAUACAUUAUUUAUAACGAACGGCUGACAAACAUGCUUGAAUCAGCUACGAACUAAUCUCGCAAUGCCCACUCUAUUCCUUAUAAUCUCUAUGAUUUCUGUUAAUCCAGUCACAGCUCUCCCUGAAGUAUGAAGAUCAUAGGUCAUGUCAAAUGGCGUGUAGUUCUGUUCCCGACGCGUCUCGAAGCCUCAAUAAUUUUAUUUACGUUGAUUCGGCUUGUUCAACUUUCUUCAUAAUAUGACCCAAAUAAAUAAAUUGCAGCAGUACACAUAUUAAACAAUAAAGAACAGUACUACCAAUUCCGACAUACAGAUUACACUUAUGAACAGAAUUACACUUGGGACAUAUAGUUUUAUAACUACGAGGAUCCUCGACAUCGUAACACGAGUACAAAGAGGAAUUGUAAUAAUUAAACAUUGCCGACUUGAAUGACGAAAGACUAUCCAUAUUUAAGUUAAGUCCAUCAACGAGAUGGUUCCAUAUUCGAGUUGCCCGAAUCAUGUAAAAUCUUUGAUAUGUUACUGUUUUGCAUUUUGGCCCGAAGAACUUGGGACUGUUAUUGGCAGAGGAUCUGGAAGUGGGGAUAGUUGGACGUAGUGAUGCUUGGAUGAUUACUAUAGUUGGGUUUUGAGUUAUAUUAUAAAAGAGCGCCAUGUCUAGAUAUCCAUGCCAAUAGCAGAUCGGUAACCAGACCUCGUGCACAUUCGAUGCUGGCUAGAGACAUUUGUGGGCGCGAAGAACCCUUCAUCCCCAUCUCCUCCCCUUGAAAAUCCUGGUUUUGUGCCCUCUCCGUAUCACUUCACCCGCCCUGCUCAUGCCAUCUGACAUGCUGUGGUACUAUAGUCCUUAUAGACAGCUCUUAACAUUUUGAAACAAUGAUAUUGUUAUAUAACGUCCUAGAUUCCUACAGUUUUCAAGAUUUAGAUUCGGGAUUCGAUGCAAAAGCUGAAUUCCGUGGUAAAUUCUAUAAUCCUUGUUUGCGGUGAUUUAUUUUAUGCAUGGAAAAUAAAUUUCUAAAGACUACAACAUGUACAUACAAAUGCUAGUCUUAUAUUUGAACAUUCUAAAUAGAUAUGCCAAAAUCAUUUUAUGUAUAUAAUGUAUAUACCAGAACUGUAUGUGCAGAAGUUUCUGGAUCACCUCGACAAAACCAAAUGUCGUGUUAAUAGUAUAAAAGUGUGGAGUGAUUGGACGAAAAAGAAACAACUCAAAAAAGAGAAAGUUGUGAUUGCUGACCUAUGGGACCUAUGGUUUUGCUCAACCGUCGUAUUUAAAGUAUAAAAGUGUGGAUAAAUCGAGAAGAAAUAUAUACAAAGAAAGUGAGGCGAUCAAUACUAGAGCAUUAUAGUAUGACUGUUUACAUAUAAAUUUUGAAUCGUCUUACUCUGUUAGCUUGUUGAAUUUAACAGUUAGUCUAGGACCUGUAUAUGAGUUUGUAUGCAUUUCAUUUAGCACAGGUAAUCUCAACUGUUUUAGGGUAAAAUGACCAUGGCGGUCAACAUGGCAUAUGUGCCAAAACCUGAAUCUGGGACAAAAGUCCUGAA